rnacentral:misc_RNA from 1 species
AACGCACCUUGCGCUCCUUGGUAUUCCGAGGAGCAUGCCUGUUUGAGUGUCAUUAAAUUCUCAACCUAACCAGCUUGUUGUGAGCUUGGAUAGGCUUGGAUGGUUGGGGGUCUUUGCUGGCUUCACCAGAAGUCAGCUCCCCUUAAAUGUAUUAGUGGAACCUUUUGUUGACCUGUUCCUGGUGUGAUAAUUAUCUACACCGUGCACAAGUCAGCUUAGUUUAAUGGGCUUCUGCUUAUAACCCUCUUUUUGACCAUUUGACCUCAAAUCAGGUAGGAUUACCCGCUGAACUUAA